rnacentral:lncRNA from 1 species
UCUGUAGCCAGUACAGCCACAAGGAGCCGAGGGUGAAGUCUGUAGCCAGUACAGCCACAAGGAGCCGAGGGUGAAGUCUGUAGCCAGUACAGCCACAAGGAGCCGAGGGUGAAGUCUGUAGCCAGUACAGCCACAAGGGGGCAGUGUGACACACAGCUCUCUCUCCCAGGCUGAGACAGGAAUAGUAACAACCCGAGGUGAUGGAAUCUGCUGGUUUUGUAACCUGACUACUGAACCUGCCUUCCCUCUCUCUAUCAGUGAACUCCUAGGCUUAAGAGAUGCAGAGGCACUAUGGAUCCACACACUAACAUGUACAACAAAUAAUAGCCACGUGUAGUGUACACAAGUAUGUGGACACCCCUUCAAAUGAGCGGAUUCAGCUUUUUCAGCCACACCCGUUGCUGACAGGUGUAUAAAAUCGAGCACCCCGCCAUGCAAUCUCCAUAGACAAACAUUGGCAGUAGAAUUGCCCGUGCUGAAGAGCUCAGUGAUGUAGGAUGCCACCUUUCCAACAAGUCAGUUUGUCAAAUUUCUGCCCUGCUAGAGCUGCCCUGGUCAACUGUAAGUGCUGUUAUUGUGAAGUGGAAACGUCUAGGAGCAACAACGGCUCAGCCGCAAAGUGGUAGGCCACACAAGCUCACAGAACAGGACUGCCGAGUGCUGAAGCGUGUAGCCCAUAAAAAUUGUCUGUCCUCAGUUGCAACACUCACUACAGAGUUCCAAACUGCCUCUGGAAGCAACAUCAGCACAAGAACUGUUCAUCGGGAGCUUCAUGAAAUGGGUUUCCAUGGACGAGCCUAAGAUCACCAUGCGUAAUGCCAAGCGUCGGCUGGAGUGGUGUAAAGCUCGCCACCAUUGGACUCUGGACCAGUGGAACCGUGUUCUCUGGAGUGCUGAAUCAUGCUUCACCAUCUGGCAGUCCGACAGACGAAUCUGAGUUUAGCAGAUGCCAGGGGAACGCUACCUACCCCAAUGCAUAGUGCCAACUGUAAAGUUUGGUGGAGUAGGUAUAACUGUCUGGGACUGGGAGCCAGGCCUAAUCGCCCAACGUCAGUACCCGACCUCACAAAUUUUCUUGUGUCUGAAUGGAAGCAAGUCCCUGCAGCAAUGUUCCAUCAUCUAGUGGAAAGCCUUCACAGAAGAGUGGAGGCUGUUAUAGCAGCAAAGGGAAGACCAACUCCAUAUUAAUGCCCAUGAUUUUGGAAUGAGAUGUUCGACGAGCCGGUGUCCACAUACUUUUGUGGACACGUGUACAUUAACACACACCAAACAUAUGGCAUCAGAAUGUUAGCCUUAGCUGAGGGCUUAGUGGUCAGAUCAUAGCUAACAACGUGAUGGUGUUGCGGGAUAUGGAGGAGGGGGGGAGUGGUGUAUGUGGGAGGAGUGUGUGGGUUACAGGGGAGGAACAGAGUGGUACAAGUCCCAUGGCAUUUCCUGUUGGCACUGAGACACAGAAAUGACCUGAGUGAAAUGGGAUCAGACUGUACUGUGCCCGCACAGUGGGCACGGGGAAGGAUGGCACUAUGUUGUGUGUGGGCGUGUACGGGCAUUUGUAUGUGCGAGGUCCUAAAACAAGAACAUGUCCCUGAUUUUAAGGUCAACCCUGUUACGUGAACUGAACUCUCAUUUUAAUAGGAUGAAACUAUUCCUUUUUGAAUCAUUUUUCGAAAGAAACGUUGAACAUCUAAUAGUCAAAUCAUAGUGUAAAACCCAGGUGAGCUGGUUCUACUCUUUUAGGCCAUUUUCUGGUGUUCUGUGGGGAAGAACUGAACGGGUCGGACGUAACACAUCAACCCUGUUACCCAUAGAUAGACAGGCUAUACAUGUUUUCACUAUUUAAAUGUUUUUGUGAAUCUUGCAUUCAACUGCCCCUCUCUGUUGCACACAACAAGCUUCCAUCCCCCCUCUUAUGAGGGGAUUCAAUUGUCACCCCUGUUAUGGUCAACCCUGUUACUGUUUUUUACUGUUACUGUUUUUUUUGUCACCCCUGUUAUGGUCAACCCUGUUACUGUUUUUGGCACUAUAGUCAUUUUUUUAUUUAACCUCUUGAAAUAGGUAAACAUGUUUUUGAUUAAGUUGAACAUGGGCUCUUUAUUAAAAUUAGGUGAAAUAAAUGUUCAUUUAAAACAAAAUUGUUCAUUUUGUGAAAUAAGCGUAAUACAAUCACAAGCACAGGGAAGACAUCUAAUGGAAGAUAUAGGGCACUCAAUCUAACGACAUCUCCAACAUGACCGGCUUCUCCUAGAACUCACAUAACCUGCUCUGUACCCAGGC